rnacentral:rRNA from 1 species
GACGUAGGGUCCGAGCGUUGUCCGGAGUUACUGGGCGUAAAGGGCGCGCAGGUGGCGGUGUUGGCCCGGCGUGAAAGCCCCCGGCUCAACCGGGGAGGGUCGUCGGGGACCGCACCGCUUGAGGGCGGUAGGGGCUGGUGGAAUGCCUGGUGUAGUGGUGAAAUGCGUAGAGAUCAGGCGGAACACCCGUAGCGAAGGCGGCCAGCUGGGCCGUCCCUGACACUGAGGCGCGAAGGCGUGGGGAGCGAACGGG